AAUCCAUUCAUUGGACAUUUCCGAAUUAAAUCUUUAAAUCGUUCCCAAGCUUCAAAUAAUGUUCCAUCCUCUAACUACCGAAAAGGUGUGAUGUCAUUUCUAAGCUC
rfam:Gossypium hirsutum cultivar TM-1 chromosome 1, whole genome shotgun sequence